rnacentral:rRNA from 1 species
GGGAGUGAAAAAGAACCUGAAACCGUGUACGUACAAGCAGUGGGAGCACCUUCGGGUGUGACUGCGUACCUUUUGUAUAAUGGGUCAGCGACUUAUAUUCUGUAGCAAGGUUAACCGUAUAGGGGAGCCGCAGGGAAACCGAGUCUUAACUGGGCGUUAAGUUGCAGGGUAUAGACCCGAAACCCGGUGAUCUAGCCAUGGGCAGGUUGAAGGUUGGGUAACACUAACUGGAGGACCGAACCGACUAAUGUUGAAAAAUUAGCGGAUGACUUGUGGCUGGGGGUGAAAGGCCAAUCAAACCGGGAGAUAGCUGGUUCUCCCCGAAAGCUAUUUAGGUAGCGCCUCGUGAAUUCAUCUUCGGGGGUAGAGCACUGUUUCGGCUAGGGGGUCAUCCCGACUUACCAACCCGAUGCAAACUACGAAUACCGAAGAAUGUUAUCACGGGAGACACACGGCGGGUGCUAACGUCCGUCGUGAAGAGGGAAACAACCCAGACCGCCAGCUAAGGUCCCAAAGUCACAGUUAAGUGGGAAACGAUGUGGGAAGGCACAGACAGCCAGGAUGUUGGCUUAGAAGCAGCCAUCAUUUAAAGAAAGCGUAAUAGCUCACUGGUCGAGUCGGCCUGCGCGGAAGAUGUAACGGGGCUAAACUGUGCA